GGUAACAGAUGCAGCUCAUUGCUUGGAAUACAAUUUACGGAUUUUUAUAAUAGAGAUCGUUGAUGAAAAGAUUGCAGUGGCUUGUCAGGAUUUGAAAUUCAGCAUGGAUCCUACUGUUACAUUGCUGUAUGAUGAUGCAAAAAGCAACAGGAUUUACAUUUACAGUUGCAGAUAUGUAGAAACAGACAGGAUUUUCCCCUAGUACUACCAUGCAUGCUUCUAAAAAUAUUUGUGCCAUUAAAGGUCAAUAGCUGAAAAUAACCUAGAAGUUGAACUGUAGGCUGCUGUAUCUAUGAAAAUGCAACUUUAAUAAAUAAGAUUGUAUCUGUUAGAAACAUAACAGUGGACCACACCAGCAGCAAAAUGUUUACAGCAUCCCUGGG